rnacentral:rRNA from 1 species
AGAGUUUGAUCCUGGCUCAGGACGAACGCUAGCGGUGUGCCUAAGAAAUGCAAGUCGAGCGAGGCCAAGGUGCUUGCACUGGAAGCCUAGCGGCGAACGGUCGCGUAACACGUAAGCAACCUGCCCUGAAGUGGGGGAUAGCCCGCCGAAAGGCGGAUUAAUACCGCAUGUGGACAUUUACUUGCAUGUGUAGAUGUCUAAAGCAGCAAUGCGCUUCAGGAUGGGCUUGCGGCCCAUCAGCUAGUUGGUGUGGGUAACGGCCCACCAAGGCGACGACGGGUAGCUGGUCUGUGAGGAUGGUCAGCCGGACUGGGACUGAGACACGGCCCAGACUCCUACGGGGGGCAGCAAUUAGGAAUCUUGCGCAAUGGGCGAAAGCCUGACGCAGCGACGCCGCGUGACUGAUGAAGUCUUUCGGGAUGUAAAAGUCUUUUCUGGGGGAAGAAGGAUGGANGGACCUCAGG